rnacentral:rRNA from 1 species
UGAAUACGAGACGCUAAGGCGUUGAAGUAGUGUAUGUCAUACUUCCAAGAAAAGCUUGCACUGUCAUAGAUAAAAAACGCCUGUACCAUAACCGACACAGGUGGGUAGGUAGAGUAUACUAAGGGGCGCGAGAUAACUCUCUCUAAGGAACUCGGCAAAAUAACUCCGUAACUUCGGGAGAAGGAGUGCCUUAUUUAUAAGGCUGCAAUAACAAGAUCCAAGCAACUGUUUAUCAAAAACACAGGUCUCCGCUAAGUCGUAAGACGAUGUAUGGGGGCUGACGCCUGCCCAGUGCCAGAAGGUUAAAGAAGUUGGUUAGCAAUAGCGAAGCUGAUAACUGAAGCCCUGGUGAACGGCGGCCGUAACUAUAACGGUCCUAAGGUAGCGAAAUUCCUUGUCGGGUAAGUUCCGACCCGCACGAAAGGCGUAAUGAUUUGGAUACUGUCUCGGAGAGGGGCUCGGUGAAAUAGACUUGUCUGUGAAGAUGCGGACUACCUGCACCAGGACAGAAAGACCCUAUGAAGCUUUACUGUAACUUGAAAUUGAAAUUGGACUUUAUUCGCGCAGUAUAGGUGGGAGGCGUUGAUUGUAAUCUUGCGGGAUUAUUGGAGCCAUCAGUGAGAUACCACCCUUGUAAUGUUAGAUUUCUAACUUUGAAUCAUUAUCUGGUCAAAGAACAGUUUCAGGCGGGCAGUUUGACUGGGGCGGUCGCCUCCUAAACGGUAACGGAGGCGUACAAAGGUUUCCUCUGAACGGUUAGAAAUCGUAUCUAGAGUGUAAAGGCAUAAGGAAGCUUGACUGUGAGACCUACAAGUCGAGCAGGGACGAAAGUCGGUCUUAGUGAUCUGACGGUACUGAGUGGAAAGGCCGUCACUCAACGGAUAAAAGUUACUCUAGGAUAACAGGCUGAUCUCCCCCAAGAGUUCACAUCGACGGGGAGGUUUGGCACCUCGAUGUCGGCUCAUCGCAUCCUGGGGCGGUAGUACGUCCCAAGGGUUGGGCUGUUCGCCCAUGAAAGCGGUACGCGAGCUGGGUUCAGAACGUCGUGAGACAGUUCGGUCCAUAUCCGGUGUAGGCGUUAGAAUAUUGAGAGGAGCCUUCUUUAGUACGAGAGGACCGAGAAGGACAUACCUCUGGUGUACCAGUUAUCGUGCCAACGGUAAACGCUGGGUAGCUAUGUAUGGAGUGGAUAACCGCUGAAAGCAUCUAAGUGGGAAGCCCACCUCAAGAUAAGUAUUCUCAUC